UGUUCCGGGGGACCCCGACUCCAGAAUGUGAAAGUUUCCCGCGUGAAGCCGGUGAGUAAAAAGUUCAAUACAGUUAACUUAGGCCAUCUUUUGUUAGACGCUGUGAAUGUGUGUAGGUUACAUGCUACGAUAUUCCACAUAUUUCCAACUGCUUGAAACGAAAGCGUAUUACUUUAUUGUCAGUGUUGUUUAGGCCCAGGUCGCUAACGUUACUGCGUUAGUCAACAACGUAACGUUAACGGAGUGGAAACAGCCGUUCUUUGCCAUUAAUAUGAGUGUGUAUUAUUUCUUUCUUUGUUCUUUAGUGGAGCUCGAGAUCCUGUUUACUGUGGACUAGCUGUGUGUGACGCCAUGUUGUUUUUGUUUACAUUAAAAAAAAAAGCUCCACCGUCUCGCCGAGUGCCAGCAAGAGUCAUGAGUACUUGUCAACUCGACUCCUCAACUGGAGAUAACUUUCUAGCACCUCACCAUGGGGAAGGACGCAUUCAUAUGCCUUCACCAGCACCUGCAUUAAACAUGCAGAGAGUUACACAAGGAACGGCAGUCCCUCCUCGACUCCCUCCACCCCCCUCACCAGCAGCCCUCAACAUGUGGCAGACAGAGGAGCCUGGAUCCAGCCUGGCCUACAGGCCAACAUAGCGAGGGGAAAGAAUGGCCGACAACAUUUCCUGCUCUGCGCCUGAGGUAAUCCACAUCUUUAGCCUGCUGGAAACUAUUAAGCACAACCAAGACCAGCUGAUUGCGAAGGUGCUGUGAGUAAAAAUGUGUUGACAAGGUCAGCCACGGACGCUGAGGUCACCAAACACGCCAUCAGGUGGUUCAACUUGGCGGGGGAUCGGGCAACGAGGAGACGAGUCCCGCUUCCACCUCCUCAGGAGGAAUAGAGAUGUAUAUGUAUAAAUAAACAACCUUUUAUUGGACUUCUUGUCAU